AACCCACAAUAAUGACUAUGCAAUUCAAGCGUUGAUUGUGUAUUUUUAUGUUAUAGCGCCAACUCAGUACUGGACGAACUACUUCAACCAGCUAGAAUCAAGCAUUUUAUUCACUAAGCAAAAAUGAAAUGUAUCAAGUUCCACGGUGGUCCCUUUCGAGACUUUUGCUCCUCACACAACCGCGUGGACACCUCUGUUGUAAUGUUGAAGAGCGAUUAUUCCUGGAGCUAUAAAUUUUA